CCUGCCAGUACGUCAAAACUGUCCCCAAGCUCCGAGUGAGAAUGGAAGGGGAAGCUGACAAAGGCCAUAUUGCAGCAGUUUCCAUCUGUGUACAAGACUCAAAAGCCAAAAAGAUAGAGGGAAGCGGUGCCGAGCUGAUGGUGGAAGACGUGGCAUCUGAAAAUGAACAGCAGUCUUCCCAUCCCCAGGCAGUGCCCGCUGAGUAGAACAAGCUUUGCCUCGCUGUUGGUUCCUCUGGCUCUGCGAUGAUUCACUGCUAUCCUGCAAAACAGGCAGCCGUGGCACAGCAUUAGUCACGGGCACUGACAAGGGGGAUGCUCGCGCCGGGGAAGUACAGAACGCACUGCUAAAGAGAAACCAGGUCUUCAUUGUCCUGCAGCCUGGGAAAACCAGUUUCAGGACGUCACAAGUAAAGCUGCAGUUGGCUUUUG
ensembl:lncRNA